rnacentral:rRNA from 1 species
UGAACGCUGGCGGCGUGUUUAACACAUGCAAGUCGAGCGAGAAGUUUUGAAAAGAUUCUUCGGAUGAAAUUUAAAAUGGAAAGCGGCGGACGGGUGAGUAACGCGUAGGCAACCUGCCCCAUACAAAGGGAUAGCAUUUGGAAACGAAUAUUAAUACCUUAUGAAACUUAACUAGUGCAUGCUAGGUAGGUCAAAGAUUUAUCGGUAUGGGAUGGGCCUGCGUCUGAUUAGCUAGUUGGUGAGGUAACGGCUCACCAAGGCGACGAUCAGUAGCCGACCUGAGAGGGUGAACGGCCACAUUGGAACUGAGACACGGUCCAAACUCCUACGGGAGGCAGCAGUGGGGAAUAUUGCACAAUGGGGGAAACCCUGAUGCAGCAACGCCGCGUGAACGAUGAAGGCCUUUGGGUCGUAAAGUUCUGUUCUAGGUGAUGAAAACUGACAGUAACCUAGGAGAAAGCCCCGGCUAACUCCGUG